rnacentral:rRNA from 1 species
GGAAUUUUGGGCAAUGGGCGAAAGCCUGACCCAGCAACGCCGCGUGAAGGAUGAAGUAUUUCGGUAUGUAAACUUCGUAAGAAUGGGAAGAAUAAAUGACGGAACCAUUUGUACGGUCCGGCUAACUACGUGCCAGCAGCCGCGGUAAUACGUAGGGUCCGAGCGUUAUCCGGAAUCAUUGGGCGUAAAGAGCUCGUAGGCGGUUCAGCAAGUCGGCUGUGAAAGUCCGAGGCUCAACCUCGGAAUUGCAGUCGAUACUGCUGUGACUCGAGUCCGGUAGAGGAGAAUGGAAUUCCCGGUGUAGCGGUGAAAUGCGCAGAUAUCGGGAGGAACACCAGUAGCGAAGGCGGUUCUCUGGGCCGGCACUGACGCUGAGGAGCGAAAGCGUGGGGAGCAAAC